rnacentral:rRNA from 1 species
GCACAAGCGGUGGAGCAUGUGGUUUAAUUCGACGCAACGCGAAGAACCUUACCUGGGCUUGACAUGGCCGGGAAACCCCUGGGAAACCAGGGGCCCUCUUCGGAGCCCGGUCACAGGUGCUGCAUGGCUGUCGUCAGCUCGUGUCGUGAGAUGUUGGGUUAAGUCCCGCAACGAGCGCAACCCUCGUCUCUAGUUACCAGCGCGUCAUGGCGGGGACUCUAGAGAGACUGCCGGUGCCAAACCGGAGGAAGGUGGGGACGACGCCAAGUCAUCAUGGUCCUUACGCCCAGGGCCACACACGUGCUACAAUGGCGCGUACAGCGGGUCGCGAGCCGGCAACGGCGAGCCAAUCCCCAAAGCGCGCCUCAGUUCGGAUUGUCCUCUGCAACCCGAGGGCAUGAAGCUGGAAUCGCUAGUAAUCGUGGAUCAGCUACGCCACGGUGAAUACGUUCCCGGGC